rnacentral:rRNA from 1 species
AGCGAACGCUGGCGGCAGGCCUAACACAUGCAAGUCGAACGAACUCUUCGGAGUUAGUGGCGGACGGGUGAGUAACACGUGGGAACGUGCCUUUUGGUUCGGAAUAACUCAGGGAAACUUGUGCUAAUACCGAAUGUGCCCUUCGGGGGAAAGAUUUAUCGCCAUUAGAGCGGCCCGCGUCUGAUUAGCUAGUUGGUGAGGUAACGGCUCACCAAGGCGACGAUCAGUAGCUGGUCUGAGAGGAUGACCAGCCACACUGGGACUGAGACACGGCCCAGACUCCUACGGGAGGCAGCAGUGGGGAAUCUUGCGCAAUGGGCGAAAGCCUGAUGUAGCCAUGCCGCGUGAAUGAUGAAGGUCUUAGGAUUGUAAAAUUCUUUCACCGGGGACGAUAAUGACGGUACCCGGAGAAGAAGCCCCGGCUAACUUCGUG